rnacentral:rRNA from 1 species
UACGAAGGGGGCUAGCGUUGCUCGGAAUCACUGGGCGUAAAGCGCACGUAGUCGGCUUUGCAAGUCGGGUGUGAAAUCCCCGGGCUCAACCUGGGAACUGCAUCCGAGACUGCAUUGCUAGAGUAUGGGAGAGGGAAGCGGAAUUUCUGGUGUAGCAGUGAAAUGCGUAGAUAUCAGAAGGAACAUCAGUGGCGAAGGCGGCUUCCUGG